UACGUAGGGGGCUAGCGUUGUCCGGAAUCAUUGGGCGUAAAGCGCGCGUAGGCGGCCCGGUAAGUCCGUUGUGAAAGUCAAAGGCUCAACCUUUGAAAGCCGAUGGAUACUGCCGGGCUAGAGUCCGGAAGAGGAGAGUGGAAUUCCUGGUGUAGCGGUGAAAUGCGCAGAUAUCAGGAAGAACACCCGUGGCGAAGGCGGCUCUCUGGGACGGUACUGACGCUGAGACGCGAAAGCGUGGGGAGCGAACAGG
rnacentral:rRNA from 1 species